AUUGAACGCUGGCGGCAUGCUUUACACAUGCAAGUCGAACGGCAACGCGGGCUUCGGCCUGGCGGCGAGUGGCGAACGGGUGAGUAAUGCAUCGGAACGUGCCCAGUAGUGGGGGAUAGCCCGGCGAAAGCCGGAUUAAUACCGCAUACGACCUGAGGGUGAAAGCGGGGGGCCGAAAGGCCUCGCGCUAUUGGAGCGGCCGAUGUCGGAUUAGCUAGUUGGUGGGGUAAAGGCUUACCAAGGCGACGAUCCGUAGCUGGUCUGAGGGGACGACCAGCCACACUGGGACUGAGACACGGCCCAGACUCCUACGGGAGGCAGCAGUGGGGAAUUUUGGACAAUGGGGGCAACCCUGAUCCAGCCAUGCCGCGUGCGGGAAGAAGGCCUUCGGGUUGUAAACCGCUUUUGUUCGGGAAGAAAUCCUCUGGGCUAAUACCCCGGGGGGAUGACGGUACCGGAAGAAUAAGCACCGGCUAACUACGUG
rnacentral:rRNA from 1 species